AAUCAACGCUGGCGGCGUGCCUCAGACAUGCAAGUCGAACGAUUAAAGCUCUCUUCGGAGAGUGCAUAGAGUGGCGCACGGGUGAGUAACACGUAAGUAAUCUACCUUCGAGUGGGGAAUAACGUCCGGAAACGGACGCUACUACCGCAUAAUGCAGCGGCAUCGUAAGAUGACAGUUGUUAAAGAUUUAUCGCUUGAAGAGGAGCUUGCGGCAGAUUAGCUAGUUGGUAAGGUAAUGGCUUACCAAGGCUACGAUCUGUAACCGGUCUUAGAGGACGGUCGGUCACACUGACACUGAAUAACGGGUCAGACUCCUACGGGAGGCAGCAGUCGGGAAUUUUGGGCAAUGGGCGAAAGCCUGACCCAGCAACGCCGCGUGAAGGAUGAAGUAUUUCGGUAUGUAAACUUCGAAAGAAUAGGAAGAAUAAAUGACGGUACUAUUUGUAAGGUCCGGCUAACUACGUGCCAGCAGCCGCGGUAA
rnacentral:rRNA from 1 species